AUUGAACGCUGGCGGCAUGCCUUACACAUGCAAGUCGAACGGCAGCACGGGAGCAAUCCUGGUGGCGAGUGGCGAACGGGUGAGUAAAGUAUCGGAACGUGCCCAGUCGUGGGGGAUAACGUAGCGAAAGUUACGCUAAUACCGCAUACGAUCUAUGGAUGAAAGCGGGGGAUCGCAAGACCUCGCGCGAUUGGAGCGGCCGAUAUCAGAUUAGGUAGUUGGUGGGGUAAAGGCUCACCAAGCCGACGAUCUGUAGCUGGUCUGAGAGGACGACCAGCCACACUGGGACUGAGACACGGCCCAGACUCCUACGGGAGGCAGCAGUGGGGAAUUUUGGACGAUGGGCGCAAGCCUGAUCCAGCCAUGCCGCGUGCAGGAUGAAGGCCUUCGGGUUGUAAACUGCUUUUGUACGGAACGAAAAGGUUUGACUUAAUACGUUGGACUCAUGACGGUACCGUAAGAAUAAGCACCGGCUAACUACGUGCCAGCCGCCGCCGUAAUAC
rnacentral:rRNA from 1 species